CAAAAACUGUCUCAGUUCGGAUUGUAGGCUGAAACUCGCCUACAUGAAGCUGGAGUUGCUAGUAAUCGCGAAUCAGCAUGUCGCGGUGAAUACGUUCCCGGGCCUUGUACACACCGCCCGUCACACCAUGAGAGUUGGCAAUACCCAACGUACGUGAUCUAACCCGCAAGGGAGGAAGCGUCCUAAGGUAGGGUCAGCGAUUGGGGUGAAGUCGUAACAAGGUACC
rnacentral:rRNA from 1 species